rnacentral:piRNA from 1 species
UACAAAAUGGCUAUAGGUAUUUUACAAGGA